CGUGUAGGUGGAUCUUCAAGUCAAAUGUGAAAACCGACGGCUUAACCGUCGGCCUGCAUUUGAAACUGUGGAUCUUGAGUACGGGAGAGGAAAGCGGAAUUCCUGGUGUAGCGGUGAAAUGCGUAGAUAUCAGGAGGAACACCGGUGGCGAAGGCGGCUUUCUGGCCCGAUACUGACACUAAGGCGCGAAGGCCGGGGGAGCAAACAGGAUUAGAUACCCUGGUAGUCCCGGCGGUAAACGAUGGGCACUAGGUGUUGGAGGUAUCGACCCCUUCAGUGCCGCAGCUAACGCAUUAAGUGCCCCGCCUGGGGAGUACGGCCGCAAGGCUGAA
rnacentral:rRNA from 1 species